rfam:Desulfococcus oleovorans Hxd3, complete genome.
GGCUAAGCUACUAAGGGCAAACGGUGGAUGCCUUGGUGCCAAGAUGCGAUGAAAGACGUGGUAAGCUGCGAUAAGCUUCGGGGAGCUGCUAAACAAGCUUUGAUCCGGAGAUUUCUGAAUGGGGAAACCCGUCCUGAGUAAUGUCGGGACAUCUUCAGCUGAAUACAUAGGCUGUUGAGGCGAACGGAGUGAACUGAAACAUCUCAGUAACUCCAGGAAAAGAAAACAAAAGUGAUUCCCAGAGUAGCGGCGAGCGAAAUGGGAACAGCCUAAACCGAGUAUAUGUAAGCCCGAAAGCGUUGUAUACUCGGGGUUGUGGGACCUGAUCGGAUGGCGUUUCGGAGCCGUCGGAAAGUUACAAAACAGAUUGUUAGUUGAACGGCCUGGAAAGGUCGACCAUAGAAGGUGAUAGUCCUGUAAGCGAAAACAAUCUGUCUUUCUGGAUCAGACACCCAAGUACCGCGGGACACGAGGAAUCCUGUGGGAAUUUGUGAGGACCAUCUCAUAAGGCUAAAUAAUCCUUGGCGACCGAUAGUGAACAAGUACCGUGAGGGAAAGGUGAAAAGUACUCCAGUGAGGAGAGUGAAAUAGUACCUGAAACCGUUUGCCUACAAGCAGUGGGAGCACGAUGGGCAUGGCCUUGCGCCCUGUCCCGUGUGACCGCGUGCCUUUUGCAUAAUGAGUCAGCGAGUUACUUUGUGUAGCGAGGUUAAGCCGUAAGGUGUAGCCGUAGCGAAAGCGAGUCUGAAUAGGGCGAAUUAGUUGCACGGAGUAGACCCGAAACCAGGUGAUCUAUCCAUGGCCAGGGUGAAGCGCGAGUAAAAUCGCGUGGAGGCCCGAACCGUUGUAGGUUGAAAACUGCUCGGAUGAGCUGUGGAUAGGGGUGAAAGGCCAAUCAAACCUGGAGAUAGCUGGUUCUCCCCGAAAUAUAUUUAGGUAUAGCCUUGCAAGUUGAUUAACGGGGGUAGAGCACUGGAUGGGCUAGGGGUCCUACCAGAUUACCAAACCUAACCAAACUCCGAAUACCGUUAAUUUUAUUGCAGGAGUCAGACUACGGGAGCUAAGUUCCGUGGUCGAGAGGGAAACAGCCCAGAUCGCCAGCUAAGGUCCCCAAAUGUAAGCUCAGUGGGAAAGGAUGUGGAAAUGCCCAGACAGCCAGGAGGUUGGCUUAGAAGCAGCCAUCCUUUAAAGAAAGCGUAAUAGCUCACUGGUCGAGUAGGUCUGUGCCGAAAAUGUAACGGGGCUAAGCUUACUACCGAAGCUGCGAAAUGAAAUUUAUUUCAUUGGUAGGGGAGCAUUGCCUGCGGGUUGAAGCAUGACCGUAAGGACGUGUGGACUGCAGGGAAGAGAAGAUGCUGACAUGAGUAGCGAUAAAGCAGGUGAAAAACCUGCUCGCCGGAAGCCUAAGGUUUCCUGAGUAAAGCUAAUCUGCUCAGGGUUAGUCGAUACCCUAAGCCGAGGCCGAAAGGCGUAGGCGAUGGGAAACAGGUUAAUAUUCCUGUACCACCUAGUUAUUGUUUGAACGAUGGGGUGACGCAGGAGGGUAGGUCAGCCGCCGGAUGGAAGUGGCGGUUUAAGCCGGUAGGCGGAGGGGAUAGGCAAAUCCGUUCCCUUGUUAACGCCGAGAGGUGAUGAGGAGAGACGCAAGUCUCAUAAACUGAUUGAACCCAUGCUGCCAAGAAAAACCUCUAAGUGAGAUAACGGGUGAUCGUACCGCAAACCGACACAGGUAGGCGGGGUGAGAAUCCCAAGGCGCUUGAGAUAACUCUGGUUAAGGAACUCGGCAAAAUAACACCGUAACUUCGGGAGAAGGUGUGCCCUUAUUAUGUGAAACCCUUCGCGGGUCGAGCAGAAAAGGGUCGCAGAGAAAUGGCGGGAGCGACUGUUUACUAAAAACACAGGACUCUGCUAAGUCGUAAGACGACGUAUAGGGUCUGACGCCUGCCCGGUGCUGGAAGGUUAAGGGGAGAUGUCAUUCGUUUCGGCGGAGAAGCAUUGAACCGAAGCCCCAGUAAACGGCGGCCGUAACUAUAACGGUCCUAAGGUAGCGAAAUUCCUUGUCGGGUAAGUUCCGACCUGCACGAAUGGCGUAACGAUUCCCGCACUGUCUCAACCAGGGACUCAGCGAAAUUGUAUUGGCGGUGAAGAUGCCGUCUACCCGCGAAAAGACGGAAAGACCCCGGCACCUUUACUAUAGCUUGACAUUGGAUCUUGAAAUGGCUUGUGCAGGAUAGGUGGGAGGCUUUGAAGCGGUAACGCCAGUUAUCGUGGAGCCACCCUUGAAAUACCACCCUGGCCAUUUUGUGGUUCUAAUUUCGACCCGUGAUCCGGGCGAAAGACAGUGUCUGGUGGGUAGUUUGACUGGGGCGGUUGCCUCCUAAAGAGUAACGGAGGCGCGCAAAGGUUCCCUCAGGCUGAUUGGAAACCAGCCAUAGAGUGUAAAGGCAUAAGGGAGCUUGACUGCGAGAGAGACAUUUCGAGCAGGUACGAAAGUAGGUCUUAGUGAUCCGGCGGUUCUGUAUGGAAGGGCCGUCGCUCAUCGGACAAAAGGUACGCCGGGGAUAACAGGCUUAUCGCAUCCAAGAGUUCACAUCGACGAUGCGGUUUGGCACCUCGAUGUCGGCUCAUCACAUCCUGGGGCUGGAGCAGGUCCCAAGGGUUCGGCUGUUCGCCGAUUAAAGUGGUACGUGAGCUGGGUUUAAAACGUCGUGAGACAGUUUGGUCCCUAUCUUUCGCGGGCGCAGGAUAUUUGAGAGGAGCUGUCCCUAGUACGAGAGGACCGGGAUGGACAAACCAAUGGUGGUCCAGUUGUCGCGCCAGCGGCAUCGCUGGGUAGCUACGUUUGGAAUGGAUAACCGCUGAAAGCAUCUAAGCGGGAAGCCAACCUCAAGAUUAGAUAUCCCUCUGCAUGGAGACAUGCAGACUGAAGACCCCUUGAAGAUGACAAGGUUGAUAGGCCGGGUGUGUAAGCCCAGCAAUGGGUUCAGCUUACCGGUACUAAUUGGUCGUGAGGCUUAGCCAC